CACGUAGGCACCAAGCGUUGUCCGGAUUUAUUGGGCGUAAAGAGCUCGUAGGCGGUUCAGUAAGUCGGGUGUGAAAACUCUGGGCUCAACCCAGAGACGCCACCCGAUACUGCUGUGACUUGAGUACGGUAGGGGAGUGGGGAAUUCCUGGUGUAGCGGUGAAAUGCGCAGAUAUCAGGAGGAACACCAGUGGCGAAGGCGCCACUCUGGGCCGUAACUGACGCUGAAGAGCGAAAGCGUGGGUAGCAAACAGG
rnacentral:rRNA from 1 species